UACGGGGGGGGGCAAGCGUUGUUCGGAAUUACUGGGCGUAAAGGGCUCGUAGGCGGCCAACUAAGUCAGACGUGAAAUCCCCUCGGCUUAACCGGGGAACUGCGUCUGAUACUGGAUGGCUAGAGGUUGGGAGAGGGAUGCGGAAUUCCAGGUGUAGCGGUGAAAUGCGUAGAUAUCUGGAGGAACACCGGUGGCGAAGGCGGCAUCCUGGACCAAUUCUGACGCUGAGGAGCGAAAGCCAGGGGAGCAAACGGG
rnacentral:rRNA from 1 species